UACGUAGGGGGCGAGCGUUGUCCGGAAUUAUUGGGCGUAAAGCGCGCGCAGGCGGCCCUUUAAGUCUGAUGUGAAAGCCCGCGGCUCAACCGCGGAUGGGCAUUGGAAACUGGAGGGCUUGAGUGCAGGAGAGGAGAGUGGAAUUCCACGUGUAGCGGUGAAAUGCGUAGAGAUGUGGAGGAACACCAGUGGCGAAAGCGGCUCUCUGGCCUGCAACUGACGCUGAGGCGCGAAAGCGUGGGGAGCAAACAGG
rnacentral:rRNA from 1 species